CCUACGGGACGCAGCAGUGCGGCCUCGUCGUCCCUUUGCUUCCGCCUGCCCCAGCCAAGUCGCGUGAGGGAAGACUGCCCUAUGGGUUGUAAACCUCUUUUGUCAGGGAGCAACGCCGGCUACGUGUAGCCGGACUGAGAGUACCUGAAGAAAAAGCAUCGGCUAACUCCGUGCCAGCAGCCGCGGUAAUACGGAGGAUGCGAGCGUUAUCCGGAUUUAUUGGGUUUAAAGGGUGCGUAGGCGGAAUGCAAAGUCAGCGGUAAAAUCGCGGGGCUCAACCUCGCUCCGCCGUUGAAACUGGCGUU
rnacentral:rRNA from 1 species